UUGACUUGUUUAUAACGUGGGGAAAUAUAACCUGCAUUGUGUAUUUGUACAUGAUAACAAUAAAAGAGGCUAAUUAAUGGCUGAGUUGAAACUUAGUUAGUGAAAGUAUAUGAUUUGUCUACGCUACAUGAAGUUUUAUUUACUAUCACUGAAGGCUAAUGUUAAAAGGCCUCUCUAAUAGAUAUAUAGGAGCAAGCUCACAAUUAAUAAUUUACUAUUAUCGAUAUACCAAUGGCGAUUUUAAAUUUGUUGAUUUUGUGGUAAAUAUAUUAUCAAUGACCAUGAAAACUAAAUAACGUGGUUAAACUUUUAAUUAUGCCGAUAAAAAAAUAAUUACAUAUUUAUAUAUAACUAUUUAUAUAUAUGUUUGUAUUAACACUUUGACUAUAAUAAACUGUACAACUUUUUCAAAAAAAAAAAAAAACUGUACAACUUAAAGUAUAUUUUACUUUUAAAUCUUCACCCUGGAAAAAUGUUACACGUUACAAUCACUAAAAAGUCAAUACUAUUAUUAAAAAAAAAAGAGUCAAUACUCUAGUUUAAUAAUCUUAUUUGAGAAAAUAUGUGAUUAAAAACAAUUUGAUACAUAAUUCAGCGACGCAUUACUUAUGUGGAUGUACAAUACUCUCAUUCUAGAAGCGUAUAACACAAACAGUCAAUAACGUGUCGUGCAACAAAUUAAGUCGUUAUUAAUUUCACCAAGUGGUUUGCAUAAACUUAUUAAUGGAAUUAAGUAUGGUUAAUAAGCGCAUGCAUAUGCGAUGAAUAUAAUUAUAGCACGGAUUUGAGAUGAGAAUAGUCCGAAUAUUAUAUAAAAGAUAAAAAUUGGAAUAUUAACUUGAAAGAGAAUUGAAAACCUUAUUUAAGAAUGAAAGUUCUUGGUAGUUAUUUGGAAUAUGUAAAAACUAGUUGGAUAAAAAAAUUAAAUUGAAUUGAUUUUGAACUAUUCUAACCGGUUGAUUUUAUAUCAAAAUAGUCAAAUUAAUUCAAAAGAUUAAAAAAAUUAAUUUUAAAAUAAACUAUUUAGUAAUCGAUUUUAAACUAGUUUUAAAAAGUUAAACUAGUUUCAUUAUAGAUCUAAAUAGUUAAUUAGAAUAUAACUGGAACGUGUAUAGGAGGGACAAUAGUGGAAUUUGGAAAUGGGGGUCUAGAAGGAAAGUGUUGCGUCCAGAAGAUGUUGUGAUGAGAUUGAGAGGGUGAGACAGGACCACUUGGGUUUGUUCUGUUCAGUGUGUGUUUUUUUCUGUUAGAUUCAGUUUCGUGGUCAGCGAGGUUGGUGGACACGUGGUCUUCACUGACGGCUUAUAUUACUACUGCAUUGCCUUCAACUCAAUUCAAUGAGUCUUCUACAUCGUUCCACGUGCGUGCGAUUGCAAUGCCCACUACUCACCUCCGCACUCUAACUUCCGUAACUAGCUAGCUGCCAGCUCAGAAUUUUAAUUUCCCAUUCUUACUAGUCCAAAUACAAAAUUAGACGUUUUAUGAGAAAAUAAAACAUUAGGAGUUCUUCGUCAAAUUAAAAACUCUCUCCUCAUUCGUUUCACUUAUAUAUAGAUUUCACCAUCAGUGUACUUUUUUCCCACAUAUAUACGUACUUUAGACUAGGUCCUUAGUUUGGUACACAAUUGAAAAGAAGUAGUAAUUAACUGCAAUGCGUAUAAUUAACAAGUAAUGAUUCAAAUUGUUUUAUUGUUUUAGUAUUAUUGAAAAUAUUAUUAAUUAUGUGUCUCUUGCUUGCCUUAAUUACAAAAACGUGCAAGGCAUACACAAGGGUGUGUGAGACGGUGGACAUUGCACUUGGCACUCACGCUACGCAUGCUCUUAUUAUUAUUAGUCGAAGAAGAUGGUGACUGUUGUGUUGAAUGUUCCACCACUCUUGAAUUUGUGCAAGUGUAAACUAGUUCCCAGUAAGAGACAAAUUUAGUAAUUGACAAAUCAUGUUCCUAUUUGAUUUUUCAAGGUUACUUCUUCUUUAGUAACAGCCUGUUUCAUUUUUUCUCAUUCUAUUGCCAGACUGGUCCCAGUGUUUAUCGAGCAGAAAGAAAAUUUGUAUUAUGCAAGUUUAUUUCUAAAAUGCAGAAGUAAUCAUGCAUGUAUGAUUAAUGUUUUUGGUGAUUAUUUAUUAUUACAUUUUAGUAAAUUAAAUUUAUGAUCAUGUGUAUAGUUUAGAGUUUAAAGGAUAAUACCAGAAUUUUGAAAUUAUCAUGAUAUCUCUCUCAUUCUAAUUGACACCAAUUCAGUUAUAUUCAUUUUCAUUAUUUUUUAAGCAAUUCAUUUUCAUCAUUAAAGUAUAUAUGUAACUAUGUAUUAUAUAUACUUUUCAUCUAUUUAUAAACUUAUUAAAUUAUUUUUCUAAACAUACACGCUAUAUCAAAUUAGUCAUUUAAUUUUACUUUUUGUUAUUAAAUUAUUCCUUAACAUAACAUUAAUUAAAUGAGUCUUUAAGAAAUAUAACUAGUUAUAUAUAUUAAUUGUUAUUGGAUGAUCUGUCAUGCAAAAAUACAUUAUCUAUCUGUCUAUUUCUAUGUACAGUUCUGAAUUCAGUUCUUUUACUAUGAUUUUUACAUGAAACUUUUUCUUUUGUCUUUUUUAAUUUAUUUAUUAUUCACUAACGUUUUCAUUGUUUUGUUUUUUAUAUGUUGUAUUUCUUUUUUUUUUGUAAUUUUUUUAUUUUGUCCUCAAUAUUUCAAACAAAUAACGAUAAUAGUUACUAAAGAAUAGUGGUUCGAAAUGAAUAUUUUCCUAAAUUAAAAUGUGAAACUUUUAUAAAAUAAUUUAAUAUUUAUGAAUGGAUCGACGAGAGGAGGAAAAAAUGUAUAGUUUCCUUCAUGUGAGGUUAAAACUUUCAAAUGUAUCAUUGGGUUUGAUAUUUCUUAUAUUGACUUUGAAUAUUAGAAUCAAUUUAGAACUCGUAUUAUAUUAGUGGUAAAUAUAAUUUAUUUUGUUGAUAAAUUACUUUUAUAAAUGAUUACCAACACGUGAAAAAAUAUAAUAUUUACAAAUGAAUAUUAUAAUUACAGACUUAAAGUUGAAUUUUUUUAGAUUAAAUUAUUAAUUUAGGUCUUCUAAUAUCAUUAAUUUAGCCUUCUGAACAUUAUGUAAUAUUUGAGCAUGGGAAGUCAUAAAAAUUAUCCUUAUUUUGAUGCAUGUUAUAUUGUUGGAUUAACGUGGUCCAAGAUGGAAAUGGCUUGUUAAUGCAGCCCAUUUUCCUUUCUUUCAUUGCCUAACGGCUAAAAAGACUUGGGCUCAGGGCCUACCCUCUUUUUCUGUUAGGUCAGGUGCACUACUAAAUUGAAUAAACCGUGAAAAAAGAUUAUUUUUUUUUGUCAAAUGUCUAAAAGGUAAAUGUAUAACAUUACGAAUUUAUUUGGAUAAUUUUUCAAUAAUUACUCAUUGUAAAAUAAAAUAAGAAUAAAAAGUAAAACAAUUUUUUCAUAAAUUAAAAUCAAGUUAAAAUAAUCUUUUAGAAAAACUAAUUGAGAGUGUUCCUACAAAUUAAUUUAUAUAUAAACUAAAUUCAACUAAUUGAGGGUGUUCCUAUAAAUUAAUUUAUACGUAAACUAAAUUUAACUAAUUGAGAGUGUUCUUGCACUCUCAUGUUGCUUCCUGCACUCUUUCUAAAAUAUUUUCUUAAAAAUUUUAUUCAAACAAAACCUACCUUACUAUUGUCAACAUGGGAAAUGGACCAAAACAUCUGUACUUGGACAUUUCUUUUAUUGGGACCUGGACUUCAUAGGUUAUUGGAGGUCCAAAAACUUGGACCCCUUGAUGUAUAUCUGUUUGGGGCAAAAGUUUGGAGGCUAUUGCUUCUUGCACUUCUCAUCUCAUGUUACUUCUGCAUUUCUUUUCUCUUUCUAGAAUGUCCGUUUUAGAAUGUAAAAUUACCUUCCAUAAUGCCACUCAUUUUUUGGCUUUCAGGAUAACCAUUUCGGAAGAUUAAAAAACAUUUUGGAAAGAGUGUAGAAAGCAAAAGCCAAGUUUGAGGUUGGCAAUUGGAUUUUCACUUGAUGGUUACAUGUAAAAGUUAUCCACCAAAAGGAGAAUUAUUUACUAAAUAAGAAUAUAAGCAUCAAUAUUUGUUUGUAAUUUUUUAAAGAAUGAUCCGUUGGUCCAAAUAUUUUAAUACCCACCAUAUUUUAUAGUCACAUUUAUUAUUAAAUAUAUUAAAUUUUAAAUGAAAAUAUAUUAUAUAAUAAUAUAUUUUUAAAAUGACAAAUGUUUGAGAGUAUAAACAUGCGACUUUUAUUUACUAUAUGUUUCAUAAGUUUUGUUUUCCUUUUUGUCAAAAUAUUAUGUUUUAUAUUUUUCUUACUUUCUUAUGUUAGACUUAAAUGUAGACAAGUUAUAUUCUAUUUGUUAUGUUUUCUAUGUUAAAUGAUAAGAUGUUAUAUUUUUAAUUAAUAUUAUUUGUGUGAUUAUUUUUAUAAUUAAUUUUAAUAUUAAAACACUUUUAUUUUAUUUUAUUAGUUAGUAAAAAAUAAAAACGUUAAAAAUAUAUUUUAUAUGAUUAAAGUUAGAGUUGUGAGUUUAUAUAAAUAUAUAUAUUUUAAAAUGUUUCUUUUUUAAAAUAAGAAUAUGAGAACAAAUACUUAUCAUUUUUCAUAUAGCUUACAGAAAAUGCAUUUGCCCAUUUCCGACAUGCUUCUGUUAACUUUUAGCCCCAAAAUACAAAAUUUGGUUUGUGCAAAGUUAGAAUUCAAAACAAGUAAAAAUAUAGAAGCGUGUUUUCUAGUGGGUUGGUUAUAAUCUGGACCUAGUCUCCCUCGUGGUCCAUGCACAACAUAGUUUCACACUUUCACUUGACUUUAUUUUGCUGUACAAAACCAUAAGUGGAAUGGUUUCUUUUGUAUUGAAAGAGUUAUUUGCUAAUUAAAUAAAAUAAAAAACUAUAGAAAGUAAUUUUAAUUUUUUAAAAGAUAGAAAGCAAUUUUAAAAAAUAUAGGGAAGCAUUAUUAGAUCUUUUUGAGUUUAUCUUCUUUGCAUGAUUUAUCUCACUGCAGGGAACUUUUAUUAUGUUCAAGAUGCCUAGCUAUUGGAUCAUAAUUUUAUCACGUCUGAUAGAUGUACUUGAAUUGAUUCUUUGAUGACAAGUUAUAUGAUGCCUUGCUCAAAUCAUCUAUUUUAACGUACCAUUUUUAUUUUAUUUUAUUUAUCUAUUUUAGGAUGGUCUUGGUGCUGGAGGAAUAACAAGGUAAUGGACUAAUGGGAAACUGGGAAAGAAAGCUUGUUACCAAAAGCAUAUAUACGAAUUUUUACUACAGAAUCUUGAGUUUUGGGGCCUUCCCAUCGAAUAUGUUGUAAGCUGAAGAAGCAGUUAGGAGAAUUGGGUGAAACUUGAUUUUAACGUUGAUGGUUGUUGGAAACCAAAUCUUGAUAGUAUGAGAGCAGGCAAUGCUAUCAAAGAUUAAUUGUCAAGGAACAUGGCUUAUUAAUUGGCUCUGAUGGCCAAGGAGAUGAAGCUUCAUUUGAACUUACUAUUGUUCAUAUUGCUCUUAAAUUGGCUUGACACUAGGUGGAUUGUAAAUUAAUUAGAUGCUUAAUUUGGAUGUCAUUUAUAUAAGAAAUGCCCACCCUUUUUACAUCUAUCCAAAAUACUCAGUAAAAUUAGAUCUAUUUUACAAAUGGAAUGUGAAGUUUGUAAAAUGAUACGUGUUUUAUUGCAGAACUAUAAGUUGUAUGUUCUGGAUGUGAGUCUUAUGAUUUUUGUGAGGGUUGAUUACCUCUUGUACCCUUUAUCCUCUUUAUAAAUGCAUUCUCUUUGCUGAUAAAAAAAAUUGUAUUUCCAGAUCGAUCCGACUUAUAAAUUCGAGUUCACUCAUUGCAGGUUGAUGAAAAUAUAAAAGGAACAUCGGUUUAAAUUAGACACACCUACAUGGUCGAUUUUCUUAGUACUUUGUAAUUUCUUCACUUUUCUUUAUUUUCAUUCGCCCACUGUGCAAAGAAAUGCACGUAUACAUUAAGAACAUUUUUGUGCUCUAUAUUGAUUCCAUUGUGAUGCCUAUACAUUGACAUCUUUAUUAAGUGAUUUAAAGAAAAUUAUAUGCAAAUAUCGCUAUAUGAAAUAGAACUUCGCUCAACUAGCCGUAUCUAAAAUCAUACCUCCAUAAAAGAAUUAUAUUUGAAAAUACAAAUUAACAUAUUUAAAAUCAAAUUAUCACCACAAUAUAUAUUUAAAUUCAAGAUUUUGUUUAAGAAAAUCAAAUUCAACAUCAUUUCCGACGAACGAUUAUUGAUAUCUAAAUGUGUUUUACUUUUAGCUUCAUGAAUUGAGUUGAGUAUAAUAUGCUGAUAGAAAAAAGUUGAGGGUACAAAAUACUAAACUUGCAAUUUAUAGGAGUAUAGUUGUGAUUUUAUUUUUGAGCAAAUAGUUACUUAGGACGACCACUUUUCAAAAAAGAAAAGUAAGGCACUUACCCGAAUGAUGCGUGCACCGUGCACAAGACCCAUGCAUGCCUUUUUCAUUAUCUCUUGCUUCCCAACCAAGCGAGACGUAAAGGCUACGUAGAACCAAACCAACCCUUCUUCCUUCAUUUCUCACACAAUAUUUUAACUAACGCUUCAACGCACGACAAUGGCAACUGUUUUGAUGUCAAGCUACAAGAACCAAUAUUGGUUUAAAGUGGCAUGCCUUGCUAUAUAUAUGCUACUUUUGGAAGUUAAUGUUUGUUUUAAUUAGUUA
rnacentral:lncRNA from 1 species